GACGAACGCUGGCGGCGUGCCUAAUACAUGCAAGUCGAGCGAAGUUUUUCUGGUGCUUGCACUAGAAAAACUUAGCGGCGAACGGGUGAGUAACACGUAAAGAACCUGCCUCAUAGACGGGGACAACUAUUGGAAACGAUAGCUAAUACCGGAUAACAGCAUAAAUCGCAUGAUAUAUGUUUAAAAGUUGGUUUCGGCUAACACUAUGAGAUGGCUUUGCGGUGCAUUAGCUAGUUGGUGGGGUAAAGGCCUACCAAGGCGACGAUGCAUAGCCGACCUGAGAGGGUGAUCGGCCACACUGGGACUGAGACACGGCCCAGACUCCUACGGGAGGCAGCAGUAGGGAAUCUUCCGCAAUGGGCGAAAGCCUGACGGAGCAACGCCGCGUGAGUGAAGAAGGAUUUCGGUUCGUAAAGCUCUGUUGUUAGGGAAGAAUGAUUGUGUAGUAACUAUAUACAGUAGAGACGGUACCUAACCAGAAAGCCACGGCUAACUACGUGCCAGCAGCCGCGGUAAUACGUAGGUGGCAAGCGUUGUCCGGAAUUAUUGGGCGUAAAGCGCGCGCAGGUGGUUUAAUAAGUCUGAUGUGAAAGCCCACGGCUCAACCGUGGAGGGUCAUUGGAAACUGUUAAACUUGAGUGCAGGAGAGAAAAGUGGAAUUCCUAGUGUAGCGGUGAAAUGCGUAGAGAUUAGGAGGAACACCAGUGGCGAAGGCGGCUUUUUGGCCUGUAACUGACACUGAGGCGCGAAAGCGUGGGGAGCAAACAGG
rnacentral:rRNA from 1 species